CCAGAGUGCAACAGAACAUAUGGCUAUGGCAUGACAGGCAGGUUACAUAGAGGAUCAGACUCCGCUGACAUAGUGAGGAACCAUCUUGGCGUUAAGUUCUGCAGAGAGAAGAUUUAGCUGGACCCCGUGACACAUUUCGGGAUAUAGAAAUUGCACUAAUCGACUAUUGUGAAGACCAUUAACUGCAGCCUGGAUUGAAGCCAUUGUAGCCAUUCUGCCAUUUUUAUUUUAUCUCCCUUAAUUUGUAUUAUGUUAUCAUUAUUAUUGCCCAUAUCAUAAAUAUAUAUACUUAAUUAUUUUUCCUGCUCUAGUAUAAUAUUAGCAAUGGAGGUUGCU